CAGCAGCCGCGGGAAUACGAAGGGGGCUAGCGUUGUUCGGAUUUACUGGGCGUAAAGCGCACGUAGGCGGAUCGAUCAGUCAGGGGUGAAAUCCCAGAGCUCAACUCUGGAACUGCCUUUGAUACUGUCGAUCUGGAGUAUGGAAGAGGUGAGUGGAAUUCCGAGUGUAGAGGUGAAAUUCGUAGAUAUUCGGAGGAACACCAGUGGCGAAGGCGGCUCACUGGUCCAUUACUGACGCUGAGGUGCGAAAGCGUGGGGAGCAAACAGGAUUAGAUACCCCCGUAGUCCCUGUCUCUUAUAC
rnacentral:rRNA from 1 species